UGGGGAAUAUUGGACAAUGGGCGAAAGCCUGAUCCAGCCAUGCCGCGUGUGUGAAGAAGGUCUUCGGAUUGUAAAGCACUUUAAGUUGGGAGGAAGGGCAUUAACCUAAUACGUUAGUGUUUUGACGUUACCGACAGAAUAAGCACCGGCUAACUCUGUGCCAGCAGCCGCGGUAUUACAGAGGGUGCAAGCGUUAAUCGGAAUUACUGGGCGUAAAGCGCGCGUAGGUGGUUUGUUAAGUUGGAUGUGAAAUCCCCGGGCUCAACCUGGGAACUGCAUUCAAAACUGACUGACUAGAGUAUGGUAUAGGGUGGUUGAAUUUCCUGUGUAGCGGUGAAAUGCGUAGAUAUAGGAAGGAACACCAGUGGCGAAGGCGACCACCUGGACUAAUACUGACACUGAGGUGCGAAAGCGUGGGGAGCAAACA
rnacentral:rRNA from 1 species